GCCGAGGUGGCGGAAUUGGCAGACGCGCAUGAUUCAGGUUCAUGUGGGCGCAAGCCUGUGCGGGUUCAAGUCCCGCCCUCGGCACCA
rnacentral:tRNA from 1 species